CUCUCUCUCUCUCUCUAUUGUUAUAACCCUAACUAAAAUACCUCACCUCACGCACAAUCUCUUCAGACUUCAGAGCCGCCUAUCAUCUCUCUCUCUCUCUCUCAACUCACAACUCUGACUCACUCUCCUCUCAUGUCUCACGCCGUCAGCCUCUCUCAUGCUCUAAGCCUCUCGGUCUCAAUCUCUUUGCCGAAGAAGAUGAAGACGAAAUCCUAAGAUUCUCGGCAGUAUGGUGUGCUACGGGUGCUCCUAUAUCAACAUAUGAGAAAAUUAGUAGGUUUCAGCCGUCAUCUUCCUCUUCCUUCUUGUAGAUGGCAGCAAUUCUUUGCUCAGCCAAAAUGCUAGCACGUCUCCUACUUCUUGCUCCUGGAAGUAGGAGAAGUGCACUGACAGCCACAACUUCAUUACUGGCCUCGACCUCCUCAGUGACAGCUUCAGGCUUGGCCACCUCAGAAUCAGUUUCAGGAGGUUGAGGCCAGUAAUGAAGCUGUGGUUGUCAGUGCAUUUCUCCUACUUCCAGCAGGAAGAAGUAGGAGACGUGCUAGCAUUUUGGCUGAGCAGAGAAUUGCUGCCAUCUACAAGAAGGAAGAGGAAGAUGACGAGGAUGAUGAAGAUGAAGAUUGAGAAAAAUUGAAGUAUAUAUCUGGUGAGAAAAUUCAAAAUUCUGUGUAUGAGCGAGAGAUAAAGAGGGUGAUUUAGUGGGUUUUUGUGGUGUGCUUUCUUUCUAUCUUCUCAAUUCUCUCGAUUUUUUAAUUUGCAUGGUGAUUUGUAGGAUCUUUGAUAUGAGAAUAGAAUGCAGAAAUAUGUUUUGAUUUUGUUAGCUCAACAAAUUAAACACAUGGCUGGGUAGUAUGUACUAUUUUAUUUUGGAUUAUAUUUCAUUGGUAAAUUGAAAUAUUUUGUGGUAAUGCUGUAUUUUGGAUUAUAUUUCAUUGGUAAAUUGAAAUAUUAUGUGGUAAUGCUGUAUUUUGGAUUAUAUUUCAUUGGUAAAUUGAAAUAUAAUGUAUGAGGUUUGUUUUGAGCUGAGUGAUAUAUAUUUUCAAUUUGUUAAAGAUAAAUUUAUAUUGGUUAUUUUUUAGUUAAAAUGUUUUGGAUUUAACCAAAAAAAAAAAAUGGGUAUUGGGUCGGGUAUGGAUAUCCAUGGAUAAUAAAUCCGGAUAGAUGUCGGGAAUGGAUACUAAUGGGUAUUGCUAUCCGGGUAUCCGUGGGUAUAUAUUUCAUGUAGGAUAUGGGUAUACCCGAUCUACACCCUACCCAUGGCCAUCCCUAAUUGAGGGAGGGGAUCAUCCGAACAGAGGGAUUUAGUGGAAACAAUCGUUUUUGGCGUUGUAGCUGAUCUGUAAUGGAAUUUUUUAUAUUUUUUUUUAUAGGAAUGGAAAUGGUUGUUCAAGUGGUAAUUACGUAUCUGUUUUCCAAAUAAAACUCUUGCUGUAUUCAAUGAUUGCCUUGCUUGUAUUGUUUAUGGUAUCAAUGAAUACAGCGAUAUAUGGGUGAUGCGUGAAUAUGGGGUCGAGGAUCCUUGGACCAAACAACUUGUUGUAGGACACCUGUUAGGAAUUGAGAGGCCACUACAAAUUCUUGGGAAUGAGGAGAUUCUUCUGGUUGAUGAAAAGAAGACAUUGGUCUUGUAUUAACAUUGGUUCUCAAGAAAUGAAGAUUCUUCAAUGCACGGGGUAUCCAAAAAUAUUCAUGCCAACGCAAGCACUCGUUUAUGUGGAGAGUUGUUUCAUUCACAGGUGGAGAUGUGUUUGAGAGUUAAUUUUCCUGAGCUCCUAGUUAUUUAUAUCAUUAAAUAAUUUUUCAGUAAGUUCUGUGUGGCUUAAAGAAGAUGUUAUGGCUUCUCAUAUGGAUGAUGUGUUUGUUAAUUUAUUUAGAGUGAGUGCUAGUUAAGGGUUUGAGUAGGUUAUUCUGCAAUAACAUCUUAGCUAUUGUUAGCUUUGUUGUCUAUUUGUUCCAGUGAAAUUUACAAAGACUUGGUCA